UACGUAGGGGGCAAGCGUUGUCCGGAUUUAUUGGGCGUAAAGAGCGUGUAGGCGGCUAGGCAGGUCCGUUGUGAAAACUCGAGGCUCAACCUCGAGACGCCGAUGGAAACCAUCUGGCUAGAGUCCGGAAGAGGAGAGUGGAAUUCCUGGUGUAGCGGUGAAAUGCGCAGAUAUCAGGAAGAACACCCGUGGCUAAGGCGGCUCUCUAGUACGGUACUGACGCUGAUACGCGAAAGCGUGGGGAGCGAACAGG
rnacentral:rRNA from 1 species